GUUCACUUCAGCUGAACAUGUACUAAAAUUGGAAUGAAACAGAGAAGAUUAGCAUGGCCCCUGCGCAAGGAUGACAGGCAAAUUCGUGAAGUUUCCUUCUUUUGU
rnacentral:snRNA from 1 species